rnacentral:rRNA from 1 species
UGAGGAAUAUUGGUCAAUGGUCGGGAGACUGAACCAGCCAAGCCGCGUGAGGGAUGAAGGUACGAAGUAUCGUAAACCUCUUUUGUCAGGGAACAAAAGCGGGCCUGGGGGCCCGUCUGAGUGUACCUGAAGAAAAAGCAGCGGCUAACUCCGUGCCAGCAGCCGCGGUAAUACGGAGGAUGCGAGCGUUAUCCGGAUUUAUUGGGUUUAAAGGGUGCGUAGGCGGUGGAUUAAGUCAGCGGUAAAAGACCGGGGCUCAACCCCGGCAAGCCGUUGAAACUGGUCUGCUGGAGUUGGAGAGAAGUAUGCGGAACGCGCGGUGUAGCGGUGAAAUGCAUAGAUAUCGCGCAGAACUCCGAUUGCGAAGGCAGCAUACCGGCUCCACACUGACGCUGAGGCACGAAAGCGUGGGUAUCGAACAGG